UGGAAAUUGCCAAUUUGCAGACAAACGCGUUUUUCGAAACUCCAUUAUUCCGCGUAACUGGAUCGAGUUCCAGAUUAAAUCGGUCCUUGUAAUUUCGGAACACAUCGAAUCUGUUGGUGGUGAUCAAAGGACAUCGAUGAAAUAUGACCCCGUACGAAAAGGAGAACUCGGAUUACACUUCCGGUAUUGGUGCGAAAAUGCGAGCUACUCUUCCGACUGUUUUUUCACCAUCCGGAAGAAGCGGGAAUGGGCUGGACUGCUUUAAAAACAUCACCCGCCGGUCAAAAAUUAAUACCUCACCCCUCGUGAACGAACAGUACUAGAGUCAAUGAUAUUUUGACCAUUUUCUUCUUCAAAAUGUCACCAAGGUAUAUCGCUACUUCCGGCGUUGUCCGGCACCGGCGUUAUAUUAGUUUUUUUUUUAUCAUUUUAAUUUGCAUUUUCGAUUAAUAGCGAUAACUGUUUUGAUAUAGUGUAUUGGUUUCAAUUAAUAAAAAUACUAAAUAGAAACCGGAGAUUUUAAUGAAAAU